GAUGAACGCUGGCGGCGUGCCUAAUACAUGCAAGUCGAGCGAACGGACGAGAAGCUUGCUUCUCUGAUGUUAGCGGCGGACGGGUGAGUAACACGUGGAUAACCUACCUAUAAGACUGGGAUAACUUCGGGAAACCGGAGCUAAUACCGGAUAAUAUUUUGAACCGCAUGGUUCAAAAGUGAAAGACGGUCUUGCUGUCACUUAUAGAUGGAUCCGCGCUGCAUUAGCUAGUUGGUAAGGUAACGGCUUACCAAGGAAACGAUGCAUAGCCGACCUGAGAGGGUGAUCGGCCACACUGGAACUGAGACACGGUCCAGACUCCUACGGGAGGCAGCAGUAGGGAAUCUUCCGCAAUGGGCGAAAGCCUGACGGAGCAACGCCGCGUGAGUGAUGAAGGUCUUCGGAUCGUAAAACUCUGUUAUUAGGGAAGAACAUAUGUGUAAGUAACUGUGCACAUCUUGACGGUACCUAAUCAGAAAGCCACGGCUAACUACGUG
rnacentral:rRNA from 1 species